CAGUAGCCCGGUAAUACGAAGGGGGCUAGCGUUGUUCGGAUUUACUGGGCGUAAAGGGCGCGUAGGCGGACUGAUAAGUCAGGGGUGAAAUCCCAAGGCUCAACCUUGGAGCUGCCUUUGAUACUGUUUGUCUUGGGUUCGAGAGAGGUAAGUGGAACUGCGAGUGUAGAGGUGAAAUUCGUAGAUAUUCGCAAGAACACCAGUGGCGAAGGCGGCUUACUGGCUCGAAACUGACGCUGAGGCGCGAAAGCGUGGGGAGCAAACAGGGUUAGAUACCCCCGUAGUCCCUGUCUCUUAUACA
rnacentral:rRNA from 1 species